CCUGCUCCUCUUCCCGUCGCCGUGCGCCUGCGCCGCCAUGCCGCCAUGGCGUGUGUGCCCAGGGCAAGGCGCCGCCAGGCCGCCCUCGGUCCCGCGUCCCUACGAAGCUGCGCGUGCGCUGAGCCCCCUCGCGCCCUGCCGCUCGCGCCGCACGUCCCGCAGGGCCGCCCGCCGCCUUGGCCGCCGGAACCGAGCGCUGCCGUCGGUUUCCCGGCCGCCCAAAUCGCCGUCUCCGCUGCCCGCCUGUCGAAGCCGCGACUACCACGAGCUCUGCGACGACGUCCCGUAGCUCCGCCUCUGCACGCCGUCCCCGUGCCGUUCCCGGAGAAGCGCCGACACGAGGAGUGCCGGUCGCCGUGCGCCGCCAAAUUCCGGCCGACCCCGUGCAAAUCCGACGCUGGUGAUUUCAGUGAGGAAAUAAAAAUUUCAGGUGUGGGUAGUUGAAGCCAACAUCAGGUGUGUUGUGUGUGUAUUUGGGUGGGAGUGGCAGCAGAUUGUCAGUGGUUUUCAGUUACUUCCUUUGAGGAAUCAGCUGUUCAUUAUUUCCAUAAUUACUUGGAAGAAAAAGUACUCAAAAAAAGGUAUAUAUGUUCAUGUCCUCGAUACUUAUUAGUAGUCACUACAAGUUUCUUUUGAUAAAAGAAGUCUAGUUCCAAAAGAAGUCUGCCUAUAGCCCAUACUUUUAGUUAUUACAACAAUCAUCACAUAAGCUCAACAUCUUGUAAGGAGUAUAUCGUUUCUUUGGGAAGCUCUUUGGAGGAAAGCUAAGGGAUAAAUUGACUCAUAGAAUGAAGCUAUCAAAUCUACACUGGAAUGAUUAGUGCUGGCAGAACUAUGUACUUAAGUACACGGCAUGGGACAAAGCAUUCUUUAAUUUUUGAAAGCUACAUACAUGCACUGGGUAGGAAAAGGUUGAGGAUUACUCCUACUCAUAUGUCCCUGAUCUGCACAAGACUUGAGCUAUAUAUAUGUGAGUGAGGACACUGCAAGCAUGCAUUAUAGCUUAGGCAUGCACAGCCAUUGGUCAGUACUGAUCAGUCCAGAUUAAGAUAAGCUGGCCUAUGGAUGGAGGGCAUUGCAUCGCGAAUGCUACAUCGCACAAACAGCUCCAGUGCUCUAACGAUGCCAUUAACACCUUCAGCAAUACCAUGAGCUGGCAGAUAUGGAUGGGGAAUGCGCUGCUGCUGACCAGCCCUGGCUGAAGGGAAUAAGUCUUGUACUCUUGGUCUUUGUGGGGCUGCAGCAUCUCCUUUUUUGCUGCAGCAUGCAGUGGUUUUUUGCUGCCCCUAGAGGACAGCAUCUUGGACUGCUUUUUAGUUUGCUAGGACAGCUGCAGUUAGUAGGACAGCAGCAGUUAGCAUCUACUUUUCUAGGACAGCAGGAGCAUCUUAGACUAGGCAGUUAGCAGCUCCUUGGCUGGCUGUAUAUAUGUGUGGCCACCACUCCCGUUGGAAGGCAUGACAUUGUGAGUGUGAAUGAAGAAAAACCCAGAAAACUUCCCCAACUUGAGUGUCAUCCUCUCAGCUCAAUGAGAGUGAAAAUUGAGCUUCUAACAUCUGGUAUCCGAGCCGUACUUUCCUGUAGGUUGGAUA